UACGUAGGGUGUAAGCGUUAAUCGGAAUUACUGGGCGUAAAGCGUGCGUAGGCGGCUUUGCAAGACAGAUGUGAAAUCCCCGGGCUUAACCUGGGAACUGCAUUUGUGACUGCAUGGCUGGAGUGCGGCAGAGGGGGAUGGAAUUCCGCGUGUAGCAGUGAAAUGCGUAGAUAUGCGGAGGAACACCGAUGGCGAAGGCAAUCCCCUGGGCCUGCACUGACGCUCAUGCACGAAAGCGUGGGGAGCAAACAGG
rnacentral:rRNA from 1 species